ensembl:snRNA U6 U6 spliceosomal RNA
GUGCUUGCUUCAGCAGCACAUAAACUAAAAUUGGAAUGAUGCAGAGACAAUUAGCAUGGCUGCUGCACAGGAUGACCUGCAGAUUUGUGAAACAUUUCAUAUUUUG